rnacentral:rRNA from 1 species
AUACAGAGGGUGCAAGCGUUAUUCGGAAUUACUGGGCGUAAAGCGCGCGUAGGCGGAUGAUUAAGUCAGUUGUGAAAGCCCUGGGCUCAACCUAGGAACUGCAUCUGAUACUGGUCGUCUAGAGUUUAAGAGAGGGAAGUGGAAUUCCAGGUGUAGCAGUGAAAUGCGUAGAUAUCUGGAGGAACAUCAGUGGCGAAGGCGACUUCCUGGCUUAAAACUGACGCUGAGGUGCGAAAGCGUGGGUAGCGAACGGGAUUUGAAACCCGAGUAGUCC